rnacentral:rRNA from 1 species
UACGUAGGGUGCGAGCGUUAAUCGGAAUUACUGGGCGUAAAGGGCGCGUAGGCGACCACCGCAAGUCGACUGUGAAAUCUCCGGGCUUAACUCGGAAAGGUCAGCCGAUACUGCGGGGCUAGAGUGCAGAAGGGGCAACUGGAAUUCUCGGUGUAGCGGUGAAAUGCGUAGAUAUCGAGAGGAACACCUGCGGCGAAGGCGGGUUGCUGGGCUGACACUGACGCUGAGGCGCGAAAGCUAGGGGGAGCGAACGGG